rnacentral:rRNA from 1 species
GAUGAACGCUGGCGGCGUGCCUAACACAUGCAAGUCGAGCGAAGCACUUAAAAUGGAUUCUUCGGAUGAAGCUUUAUGUGACUGAGCGGCGGACGGGUGAGUAACGCGUGGGCAACCUGCCUUACACAGGGGGAUAACAGUUAGAAAUGACUGCUAAUACCGCAUAAGACCACAGGACUGCAUGGUCCGGUGGUAAAAACUCCGGUGGUGUAAGAUGGGCCCGCGUCUGAUUAGGUAGUUGGCGGGGUAACGGCCCACCAAGCCGACGAUCAGUAGCCGACCUGAGAGGGUGACCGGCCACAUUGGGACUGAGACACGGCCCAG